GAUGAAGAACGUAGCGAAAUGCGAUAAUUAAUGUGAAUUGCAGAAUUCUGUGAAUCAUCGAGUCUUUGAACGCACAUUGCGCCUCAUGGCAUUCCGUGAGGCAUGCCCAUCUCAGCGUUAGAAAAUAUUCUCAAAUUUUAGUUUUGUGCUAAAAUUUGGAUCAUGUCAAAGAAGCUAUUACUAUUAUUGUGAUCGCUCUUUGGAAAUUGAUAGGUCUUUGAGUUGUUACUCAUAGAACGUGAUGAAUCUUUCUUCGUUCUAUUGUAAUUCACUCUGGUAGUCCUAAAACUUGUAUGUCUGUGGCAUAUCUUGUAAUUUGACCUGAGAUUGGGUAGGGAUACCCGCUGAACUUAAGCAUAUCAAUAAGCGGAGGA
rnacentral:misc_RNA from 1 species